rnacentral:tRNA from 1 species
AAACAAAAAGUGCAGCAUAUGCACCCCCUG